rnacentral:rRNA from 1 species
UACGUAGGGUGCAAGCGUUGUCCGGAAUUAUUGGGCGUAAAGAGCUUGUAGGCGGUUUGUCGCGUCUGCUGUGAAAUUUCGGGGCUCAACCCCGAACUUGCAGUGGGUACGGGGCAGACUAGAGUGUGGUAGGGGAGACUGGAAUUCCUGGUGUAGCGGUGAAAUGCGCAGAUAUCAGGAGGAACACCGAUGGCGAAGGCAGGUCUCUGGGCCAUAACUGACGUGAGAAGCGAAAGCAUGGGGAGCGAACAGG